AACCCUCUUUCCCUCACUCUCCCUUCCCCCACCCGCAAACAGAAGCUGCAGAAAGUUCCUGGGGAGGAGACGGGUAACACAGAACCGAGAAGGGUGGUGGUUAACCCGGGAACUCUGCAGUCAGACCGUGUGAGUUCAGAUCGCAGCUCUACCAGUGAGGCCCAUCCAGCCUGGAGGAGGCCUCCAAGGAGGAAUGCACAGAAUUCCACUCCCAGAUUUCCUGAGGCCUGAACGGACGCUGGAUGACAGCGCAUGGGGAGAGGUGCAAACCCAGAUGUGGGCGCAAGGACAGAUGGAGACGGUCUAGGCCCGCUAGAGAGCUGUUUGGGGGAAUGACACCAACACACAAAUGAGAUCCGAGGUGUUGUCAUGAAGAUUUCUCUUUCCGGAAAGCUGCAGCACUUUAAAAGGAAGGACAGAUUUUCUCAGGGACAUCUUGGGGGUCAGGCAGAAGGAACCUGGGGAUGCCAGCCCCUAUUGGCAGCCAACUCAGUUCCCAUUUAAAUGCCAUUCAGAAGCAGCACAUCUCAGAAAGUUUUUCACAUGGACAGUGGAGCCCAGGAGAUACUUGUUAGUAGGAAAAAAUGCAAGUUUUCUUCAUUCACCUGAACUGUGGAACCAGAAAGUCAAGUUCCAGACCUCACCCCAUUUCUGAGCCAUGCAGCCUUGAGCCUCGACUUUCCCGGUCUGUAGAAGGGGGUGAAUCAAGCCAUGUAGAUCAGCACCCGCCACCACGCCUGACUCUUAGCUGUUGCUCACAGAAAGGAGGGCGUGACAGUGACCUGCUGCCACACGCGGGCGGGGGGCCCCACGGUACUCACCACUCACGGUGACCUGCGUGCCUGGUCCCGACUUCACUUCUGUGUCAGGGCUCCCUCUCUGGAACUUCACACAGUAGUAGGCCCCAGUGUCUGCUGGGGUGAUGUUACUGAUGCGGAUGGAAAAGUCCUUGUUGUCUCUGAUUGUGGCAUCUGAGACACUGGUUAUUCGGGGGAAGGGGCCUUCGUCUGUUGCUCCUUUGAAAUUGUAGACUAACUGCCGGCCUGUACCUGACCCCCUGAACCACUUAGUAUACCCCACAGGGAGCAGGGAGGUCAGGGAGCAGCGCAGAGUGGCCGUCUCUCCACCUGCCACCUACACGGACUUGUCAGGCUGGAUCACCUGCAGCUCUUCCUCGCCGGCUGCUCCUGCUGGAAAGCAAAGCAGUUCCUUGUUCAUCCUGCGUGACCCAGUGGGCUUUCUCAAGCACUAUCACAAGGACCCGCUGACAGUGCUCACCUCGGGGGGCUCCAGGGUUCAGCACAUGGGGGUAUCAUCACCUGGAACCCCCACAAUGAGCCUGUAAUGUGAGGCUGUUCCAAAUGAAGUGGCAGGUUUAGUGCCUGAGGCCUCUCUGGAAGGGUCAUGAUUCACCAAAUACUUGCUGGACACUUUGUGGUUUCAGGACAUGUUGCAUUUUCAGUUCUUUAACGUGAUGGACCAGGCGAGUCCUGAGACCAUUGGUUUGUGAGUGGCAGUGAUGGGUGUGUUGGUAGGAUGUCCUUGAACGGCAAGAAACUCUGUGCGUGAAGCAACCUCUUCCUGAGAUCACAUGCUUAUGGAAGGGGCUGUUCCCUGGCCUGGAUGCUUGAAUGACCAGGAGGUGCUGAGCUCCCUACACACAAUGAACGAGGUAUUUAAAAAGAAGGAAAACAUAGUCUUAACCCUGAAU